UCAAUAAGCGGAGGAAAAGAAACCAACAGGGAUUGCCUCAGUAACGGCGAGUGAAGCGGCAACAGCUCAAAUUUGAAAUCUGGCUCUUUUAGGGUCCGAGUUGUAAUUUGUAGAGGAUGCUUCGGGUGUGGCUCCGGUCUAAGUUCCUUGGAACAGGACGUCAUAGAGGGUGAGAGUCCCGUAUGUGACUGGUUGCCUAUGCCUAUGUGAAGCUCCUUCGACGAGUCGAGUUGUUUGGGAAUGCAGCUCAAAAUGGGUGGUAAAUUUCAUCUAAAGCUAAAUAUUGGCCAGAGACCGAUAGCGCACAAGUAGAGUGAUCGAAAGAUGAAAAGCACUUUGGAAAGAGAGUUAAACAGUACGUGAAAUUGUUGAAAGGGAAGCGCUUGCAACCAGACUUGCAUGCAGCUGAUCAUCCGAUGUUCUCACCGGUGCACUCAGUUGUGUUCAGGCCAGCAUCGGUUUCGGUGGUUGGAUAAAGGCCUUGGGAACGUAGCUUCUUUCGGGAAGUGUUAUAGCCCUCGGUGCAAUGCAGCCUACCGGGACCGAGGACCGCGCUUCGGCUAGGAUACUGGCGUAAUGGUUGUAAGCGACCCGUCUUGAAACACGGACCAAGGAGUCUAACAUCUAUGCGAGUGUUUGGGUGUCAAACCCAUACGCGUAAUGAAAGUGAACGGAGGUGAGAACUCUCAAGAGUGCAUCAUCGACCGAUCCUGAUGUCUUCGGAUGGAUUUGAGUAAGAGCAUAGCUGUUGGGACCCGAAAGAUGGUGAACUAUGCCUGAAUAGGGUGAAGCCAGAGGAAACUCUGGUGGAGGCUCGCAGCGGUUCUGACGUGCAAAUCGAUCGUCAAAUUUGGGUAUAGGGGCGAAAGACUAAUCGAACCAUCUGAACCCCCCUACUGGAUGGGAAAUAGGGCACCUGCCCAUGUAGUCUCGCGGAGGCAACAUCACCACUGUGCAUGUACGCGGCAACGCUACCUGCAGCGGGACCACGGGUCCUGUCCACAGACUAAACGGUGAUGGCCCUGUCAUCAGGGUUUUGAUAUAGCCGAUUCCUAAGCAUUUAGGUAGUAAAAGAGUAGCUGGUUCCUGCC
rnacentral:rRNA from 1 species